ensembl:lncRNA LOC102555338 uncharacterized LOC102555338
CCUAGCCCCUGUUGCUAGGCAGCAUAUUUCCCUGGACACCAGUUGCCAUGGCAGCCGCUUCCUGCCCAUGUUGCCAUGACACCCAGAUGGCCUUGAGCUUGGAGUGGUGGUAAGGGGUUAGCUAACCAGACACACUCACCACCACCCCCCUUGCUGGUGCUUAGGGGAUGCUGAGGAGACAAGAGGGGAGAAUGGGCUAUGCUGUCUAGAGCGUCUUGCCUACAGCUGGCCUGAGAUGAAGUCAGGGGCCAUAUGAGCAGAUUAGCCUCUACUCACUGUGGCCUUGAAACUCACUGACACAUCCUUAUUUCAGGGCCUGAGUAGAGCUCAGAGUCAUAGAGUCAGCCACACCCAUUUCUGUGUUUUUAACUUGGGCUUCUGGACCUUACCCACCCAGUCUGUUCUCUCCACUUGCAGCCCUAAAGCACUCUGCACAGGACUAGAGGAUCCUAUGGCCCCUGGAUGAAUGUGCCUGGGGUUUUGCAGGCAUUCCUGGAGCAGCCUUGGAUUACUCUGUCACAUGGGUCUCUGCCAGUCCUUUCAUCUCCUUCCCCAGACCUUGGGUGUGGCCUGGGCAUGAACUCUCCUUUGCUCUGGUAGCAAGGAAGGUGACACUUGGCUCUGAGUCAUGGCCUGGGACCUUCCAGGUGUCCUUAGGCUCAUAGCCAGAGAGGCAGCUGAGGGAUGAAGUGGUCUGUGUGACCAAGUCACCCCAGGGCCACAAGGUAGGGGCUGCUAGGCCUCUGUCCUGGCAAAGCAGACAUGUGCUGCUGAAAACUGUGUGGCCUUCGUGGCCCUUCCCCAGUCUUCAGAGAGUGGGGGUGCAGAGCAAACUGAGGACUGGGCAGUGGGACCACACUGCUAGCUUCAUGCUUGUGCACGUCAGGAUUGUGGAAGGCUAAUACAGGCUCCUCCAAGGCUGCUCCAGGAAUGCCUGCAAAACCCCAUGAGUUUGAGGUCAACCUGGGACACACAGUGAGAUCCUGUCUCCAUGUCUUAGCCCCAAAGAAAGCACUAGGUGCCUGAGGUCUUCUGGGAAUCCCCAGUUCCGGAGGUUAAAGCUCCAGGAGGGAAGGUACGCCCAUGGGGUGCCCAGUACUAGACAUGGCCUCUGUGUUCCCAGAAUGUAUGUUAUGACAGGCUGUUUGCCCCUCUCUUCUGUGGUCACUCUCCGGAAGCCACUGCUCACAUUUUUAACUUUAAUAAUCAGAAAGGUAAUAUGAGUGCUCAAGACAUCCCUGGUGGAAGACACAGUCCCAGUGGAUAACCAUCAUUCCAGGAUGCUGGAGGCUCUGAGGCCUUACACUGGGAGCACCAUGCUCCUGUGCUCCAAGAGGUUGCUGGGUGUGAGCACCUCUGCCCAAACCGAAGCCCCCUCUCCUUUCUUAGGAGUCAGAUCUCUUCUCUUGUUACUUCCAGCCAGACAGUGGUGCCAAGAAAGUUCCAGGCUAUAAACUCCAAAGGCCUAUUUCUGUAUCCCGAUGACACAAAGACCCUCAGGUUAAAGUGGGACUGUGAGAAAUGAGGGCUCACUUUAAGCUGCCAAAAGCUGACUGACCUCUGGUCCGAUGCUAAUGGCAGGCAGAGCAGGAGUAGGCUGCAGUUCUUAGACUUGCCACCAGAUGGCGCCUCAACCCUGCACCAGGCACAGAUGCUUGGGAUCCAGCAUCCAGAGCAGACAGGCUAGGAAGAAAUUGCAGAGUCCACCAGGCUGAAACUUGUGCCAAGGAAGGGACAGAGCAGGCACAAAGCAUCCACCCCGACUUGGAUCUGUGGUUUCCACGAGGAGUAGCCAUGCGAUCACGAGGUUUGAGGAUGCGCCUUUCCCUACUGCUUAGCACAGUGAGAUCCUGUCUUCAUGUCUGACCCCCCGCAAAGACCCCUGCACAAGACUCUAGUAUAUGUGUGCCCUAUGAUGUGGUGCUGUCUUGGCUCCUCAUCCCAACAUGGUGCCAGUGACAGGAAGUUGACAGGCUGCAUGCUGUCGUCUGACCAUGAGACUCCUUCAGAGCCUCCAGAUAGCAAAUCGUCUGUCCGUGCUGUGGCCCUCGCCUCCUCUCUUGCCUCUGGGGGGCUUCUCUUUAUGCGUCCCUGUUUAAAGCUGGUUCUGUUGAGCAAGGCUGGCAAGUGGAUGAAAUGUAUCCCUGAGUCUGGAGCCUGUAGCCUCUCUUCCCUCAGCCAGCAAGAGUCAUGUGAGUGUAUGUGCCAGCCCAGUACCCACCACUGCUGCGGGCCGUCUCAGCAAUCCCACAGACUUUUCUUCCAUCCGCUAAGCACCCACUUCCUCACCUCCACUCAGUCCACCGGCCCUCUCUGAGAGGGAGCACUCCACCCAGUCCACCUGUCCUCUCUGAGUGGGAGCACCCCACCCAGUCCAC